rnacentral:lncRNA from 1 species
GGCGACGGCAGCCGAGGUUGCGGCCUCUGCCUCUGGAGAGGCCCGGGAAGAAGCUGAAGCUCCGGGCCCGGCCUGGGAUGAGUCCCAGCUACGAAGUUACAGCUUUCCGACCAGGCCCAUCCCACGUUUGAGCCAGAGCGACCCUCGGGCGGAAGAGCUCAUCGAAAAUGAGGAGCCCGUGGUGCUGACCGACACAAACCUUGUGUAUCCUGCUCUGAAGUGGGACCUCGAAUACCUGCAAGAGAAUAUUGGCAACGGAGAUUUCUCUGUGUACAGUGCCAGCACCCAUAAGUUCUUAUACUAUGAUGAGAAGAAGAUGGCCAAUUUCCAGAACUUUAAGCCAAGGUCCAACAGGGAGGAAAUUAAAUUUCAUGAGUUCGUUGAGAAACUACAAGCUAUCCAGCAGCGCGGGGGAGAAGAGCGGGAAUGUGACACCUGCUCACUAUGAUGAGCAACAGAACUUUUUUGCCCAGAUAAAAGGCCAUAAGAGAUGCAUCUUAUUUCCUCCGGAUCAGUUCGAGUGCCUCUACCCAUACCCUGUCCAUCACCCCUGUGACAGGCAGAGCCAGGUGGACUUUGACAAUCCUGACUAUGAGCGCUUCCCCAACUUCCGAAAUGUGGUUGGCUAUGAAACAGUGGUUGGCCCUGGUGACGUUCUUUACAUCCCAAUGUACUGGUGGCAUCACAUAGAGUCGUUACUAAAUGGGGGAAUUACCAUCACUGUGAACUUCUGGUAUAAGGGGGCUCCCACCCCUAAGAGAAUUGAAUAUCCUCUCAAAGCUCAUCAGAAAGUAGCCAUCAUGAGAAACAUUGAGAAGAUGCUUGGAGAGGCCUUGGGGAACCCACAAGAGGUGGGGCCUUUGUUGAACACCAUGAUUAAAGGCCGCUACAACUAACCUACCAGAGGUCAAGGCCUCCCGCCAGGUGACUGCUAUCCUGUCCACAUGCUUCUGCGAUGAGGACGGGACACUCCAAGCACUAG